GCUAAUCACAGAAAAGCUCAUACAUCGGUCAUGAACUCGUGAUCUUCCCGACGCGAAAUAUCAAAUAUCACUCUCCCACCAAUUUUCAGACCGGGAAGGAAGAGCAAAUUCACCAUCCAGCAUAAGAAUAGCGGGUAUCAUGUUUGGUUUCGAUCGCAGAUUGGAUAGAAAGAGAGAGGAAAGAACUGGAAUUUACAUCCAAAAAUCAAUUUUUCUUUCUUUUUCCCAAUUUUCCAUAACUGGAACAACUGAGAUAGCUUAGUAGAUAUCAGAGGAAAGAACGAAAUUUACUGUCAAAAUGACAACAGUUAUGGAGGAAUUAUGAAAUUCCCAAAAAGGCUGCGUCUGGUUAAUAAUUACUUUGAUUACAAUUUACACCAAAUCGGUGAGAGAGCCUACAAUCUUUAUCGGGUCACGGAGCUAAUAAAUUGUAACUUGAUAAUGGAAGAUGAUCCUAUCUCUUCUCCUACUCCGAAUGACAUAGUGUCGCCAGGAUUAGGUGUUUUGAAAGUAAAAGCUGGUUCUUUUGGAGAGGGGAAAUUUAUUUCACUGCUUAACAUCAAAACAACUUCUGACAUUGUUGGUCUGUACACUGCAUGUUCUUGAACGCAUAAGAGCCCUAUUUUGAGUGCAUCUCCUGGCUUCAUGGAGAGGAUAUGACUUUUCCAGUGAUGAAUCAACUAUCUCCAAUAUUCUUUCUUCUAUCCACUGCUCCCACACCUGUUGGGUUCAAAGCAUUAGCAUGCAGAUGAUGAACUAUCAAGUGUAACUUCAAUAGCUUGUAAACAACAAUAUCUAAAACUACAAGUUUCCUUCACUUACAUGUCCUAGCAAGCUCAAGUAAGAAUCCUCUUGGUGAAAGUCAUUGCUCUUCUUGCCACUCAAAAUCUCCAAUAAUAUGACCCCAAAAUAUCUCUAAUUCUUUCACAAUUGACUUUUUUUCACCUAAGCUAAUAGUUAAAUAGUUCAAAACUAUGUACUUAACUUUUAUACUGUGCAUGAUGAGAAGGUUCCAAAUUGUCAGUUACGUAUAUGCCAUGUAAAUGUAAUGUAAUUUAUUUGACUCCCCUUUUGUUUGUGAUAAUUCGUCGAAAGAUUAUUCAA